AUUGAACGCUGGCGGCAGGCCUAACACAUGCAAGUCGGGCGAGCGGAGGACGGGUGAGUAAUGUAUGGGGAUCUGCCUGAUGGAGGGGGAUGACUACUGGAAACGGUAGCUAAUACCGCAUACCAUCAGAUGAGCCCACAGGGGAGUAGCUUGUAGGUGUGGUAACGGCUCACCUAGGCGACGAUCCCUAGCUGGUCUGCGAGGAUGAUCAGCCACACUGGGACUGAGACACGGCCCAGACUCCUACGGGAGGCAGCAGUGGGGAAUAUUUCGCAAUGGGGGAAACCCUGACGCAGCCAUGCCGCGUGAAUGAAGAAGGCCUUCGGGUUGUAAAGUACUUUCAGCGGAGAGGCGUUACCCGCAGAAGAAGCACCGGCUAACUCCGUGCCAGCAGCCGCGGUAAUAC
rnacentral:rRNA from 1 species